rnacentral:rRNA from 1 species
UACGUAGGGGGCGAGCGUUGUCCGGAUUUAUUGGGCGUAAAGAGCUCGUAGGUGGUUUGGUAAGUCGGAUGUGAAAUCUCCAGGCUCAACCUGGAGGGGUCAUUCGAUACUGCCAUGACUAGAGUUCGGUAGGGGAGUGUGGAAUUCCUGGUGGAGCGGUGAAAUGCGCAGAUAUCAGGAGGAACACCCGCAGCGAAGGCGGCACUCUGGGCCGAUACUGACACUGAGGAGCGAAAGCGUGGGGAGCGAACAGG